AUAUUCAUUUCUGCUGCAUCUCAGUUCUCAGCUGAAGAAAUAUCCAUGAUGCGUUUUCCUUCAAUGAACCCAAACGGGCCCUGAAACCCGCAGCUUUGCCUUCUCUUCUUGCUUUUUCAAUUUUUGGCCACAGAGCUUGUCUUGCUUUCCAAUCUUCUGCUGUCAAAUCUUCAGAGAAGCGAACUCCUUCUUCUUUGCAGACUGGAGAAGUUUUAGUUCUCUUCCAGAUGUGUCUCUCAAGGCUCGUCUCACAAACAGAAUGAUGAUCUGUCUGUCCCUGUUAUGCAUCUUUCGACCCACUCUGUGGUCAACAUCAACCUCUUCAUCCAUCUUUGAAGCCAAAUCAGGUGCAAUUUGCACAGAAGCGCCACAACUUCAUCUCCGAUGUUCUCACCAGACUUUUCCUUUUAUGCGGAGGCUCCACCGUCUUUUAUAUCUUUCACUGUUCAGGACUCCUUCAUGUUCUCUUUGGAGAGUGUAUCCACUUGUUUCUCCAAUUCUAUUAUUUUCUUUUUGCAAUCGUUUAGCUCCUCUGAGUUGAGCUGAACCGAUUUAGCAAUAGCCGCUAGCAUAGCACUGUGCUGCUUCAUUUACAUGCCAACUUCUUCCAUGCGGUCAUCUAAUUUCUGUCCUAAGGAACUUAUAGCCUCAGUGUUCAUUUGAUCCUGGGACGAACCUUUAGUUCUUUUUUCCAUGUGUGUAUUUUUUUCCGGAGUGCUGGUCAGGGUUCUGGUCGGGGUUCUGGUCGGGGUUCUGGUCGGGGUUCUGGUCAGGGUUCUGGUCAGGGUUCUGGCUUCCCUUUCCCGUUUGCCAGCUGCAGCUGAUUCCAUUGGCACAGAAUAGUCGUGAUCACUUUUAGACUGCAAAGUCUUGACUGCAGGUGGCAUAAACUUAUUGCUUUUCUUCAUACUUCAAGCUGAGAACUGAUUUUUACAAAUAUUUACUAGUAGUUUUACUAUUUUUUUAAUGGAUCUUUAUUGAGAAACAAAGUACAUAACAGUACAAACACAGAAAUGUCUGCUAGGUGUCACCGACACAUACGGUACAUCACCAUGACGUUACAUGAACACUUUUUUUUUUUUUUUAACAAAUUAAUCAGAAACAAAUAAGGCAAUUACAGUAUUGGAAUUCUGUAUAAGGCACAUAUAGAAGAGGCAUAUUUAAAAUGGAAUACAGAGUAAUAUUGAUAAUAGAAAAUUAGUAUUACAAUAAGUAAUAGUGAAACAAUAGCUAAAAAAAAAAAGGCAAAGGGGGAUUCAUGUAUUAGGAUUAAUAUACAUCAGUGGGCAAUUCCAUUAAUAUUUCAGCCAGGGAUUCAUAUGAUUCAAUACAUUUCAAGGAUUUCAAAUAUAACUGGAAUUCAGA